CUCACGCUGCUCCUCCCAAUCCUCUCUCGUCUCCUACCUUUGCCUUUCCCCCAAUCCCCUCCUGGUCAAAUCUUUCAAGCCCCUCAUGCUCCAACCCCCCAUCCCCCUCAUCUUCUCCCUCUGUCACCCCAUCUCCUGUUCAUCUCCAUGGCCAUAGUAGAAAGAGAGAGGCAAAGGGCUGAAUCAGCGCCAUUGCUAGAGAAGGGAGUGGUUGGUCGGCACCAGGAGGCACCACCGCCGCUCGUUGCUGGGAGGAGCCGUUGGUGGCCGGCGGGAGCAGCACAGCCCGCCGCUCCUCCACCUCCUUGUCAUCACCAAGGUCGUCGUCGAGGCCUGCAACUUCUCUUUCCUGCACACGCAGGACAGACUACAAGUCUACAAUGGUGGUUUGUCGGGCAGGCGGGUCUGUGCACUUUUAUUCAUGCUUGCUAUGUAAUGUGAAGGAUUGCAUGUUUAUGGAUACCCCGUGGCAGCGGAUCGCGAUAGUGUCUCGAUUGAGGUGCAAUAGUUGUGAGAUAAAUGUGGGGCUUUAGAUACGGAUAUCAAAAUGCUGGUGUUCAGCAGCGGCACACAUAGUGGUGCUCACAGAUGCGGUAUUGCAAUGGUCGUUGGUGACAUCCCAACCUUGUACAGAUCAACAACUCUACAGCCUACUAUCUGGUACCCUCCAGCCCUAGCUGCUGUCGAGAUGGAGCAGGGCCGGCACUCAUGUUGUUCUCCUCAAAGUGGUCAAAGGGAACUAGGGAAGAAUGGAGUUUGUCGCCGCGCUUAGCAGGUGGGGGACGGGCCACUGCUGAAGUUAGUGCUACCCUCUGCCUUCUCCUCUCCGCGGGCUCUGAGCUGAAGUAGCAUGGUUAGCUGCCGCGCCUUUCUUCUACACAACGGUAGCGACGAGUGAGGGUAAGCAGCCGCCAGCUCUUUUGGUGUUUGGUGCUUUGGCUAAAUUGUAGGUUGUUUUUGCUAUCUGGAUGUCUGGUCAACAUUUCUGCCCCAGGAGUGUUCAGAGGACCGAAAUCAGUGCUACGCAUUCCUUCAAUCAUUUUGUCUCACCCUGGUCAUUUUCAUUCUUGCAUUUUGAGAAGGGUCUUCUAAACAAUGAGUCUACUAAAAUGGAGUCUGUGGUUAAGCAGAGCUGAUGCCCUUGCAGCAUGUGCAUCCAAAAAGAUUGUGCUCUAUUUGCUUUGUGCAUUUCAUAUUCAGGUUGAUUAGUGUCACUUCUCGCUGGAACUGAUAUAACCCAAAAGGCAUAUUUCCUCUCUGUGUUACCAAAUUUACCAGUUCAUGGCUAUAAAGCGGAACAGUAGGAAACGCCCAAAGCUGUAAUUGAUAUGUUUAUAUUAACCUUUUAUUGGUUUGGCAAGAUACUUGCAGAAUUCAUGUUAUCCCCUGGCUGUAGCAUUCAUGUCAAGCUGUCUAAAUAGGAGCAUACUAUCCGUACAGCCGUACAGGACCAUAUUUUACUUUGUGUGUAAUUCUUCUUCAUGGGUGAUUUUGUUGUUUUGCUCUAUUCAUUCUUUACCUAAUUCAACCCCACUAAUAUGUCCGUUGUUCUAACAUGUUAUGUUUUCCCUUUCCAGGACUUGGCCGGUCAUAAUAAUGAGAAUGGUAGUGUUGAUUUGCCAGCUGACACUUCGAACAAUAGCAACCAUUCUGAAGACGUGGAAGGAAAUUCGGGGGACAUUUUAAAUGAUUCAAAUAUUCGAUCUAAUUUUCUUCGGAUGUUCAUUCUGGAGGACAAAACAGCCUAAUGGUUAACGAAAAUAUGUUUUCUAAUUCCAUUGAUGGACAUUUUUUAAACAGUUCUAGCCCCAGUGACGAAUUCCUGGAACUUAAAGAUAUGGAGUUUCAUUUAGGCAAUGAUUCCACCAUCUGGCAUUUUGAUGCUUGGGACUGGAGAACACCUUACCCCUCAGAUGCUGAAAAUGGGGCCACCAAUGAUGUUUUUCCAGUCAUGGGUCUUCUUUCCAGCCAUAUGAAUUGGCUCAGUUGUUGCAGACGUUGCAAUAUGACUCCUCUCUUUGGGCUCAACCAUCGACGAUCUCCCACAAAUUCCUUUAAGCCAGAAGAUGAUCCUCUGUUGUUAUUUGAUGCACCCUUUUACUUCACAAUGUUCAGUCAUGGGUUUAGAUAGUCGAAUAGAUUUCUCGGCUAUCUGGCAUUGACAUGGUGGAUGAUGGUAUGACAUGCUGUGAUGUAGUGGAGCAUAAAUUAUUUAAUUAUAUGAUAUGCUCUGUACAGAAGUCAGCUGUGAGCAAUCCCCAUGUUUUUAAUGGGUUAGUUCUUACUCAAGAGGUCAUCAAUACCACGUAUACAUAGGGUCCAACUCAAAAGGUUUUAGAACCUAAUUUUGUACUUGGUGCCCCAUCAGCCACUACCUGAAGCUGGUAGUCAGUUAAAUUGUGUUGCUUUGUCGGGUGAUUUUGGUACUGAAAAUUAUAGUAGAUUCUCAGCCCAAGAAUAGUUCUAUCGGAAAGCAUUUCAUAAGGAUGUUGGAUUCAAUCUUGGCACCCCUUUAUACUUAAGGUCUUAGUCAUAUGCUUGGAUGUUAUGACUUCAGCCGAGUUUAUGCCUUCAGAAGCUAAAAGAAGCAUUUAAAACUCGGUCCAGCAUUUAGCAACAGACUUGAUUAUGAACACUUAUAACUUGGAUGAUGAGUUGAGUUUAGUGCGUUCUUCUGACGUGCUGCAAACCUGAUUGAGUCUAUAAAUGUAUAUACAAGUCAUCAGUUUCUGAACCACUUGGAAUAUGCACAUAUUGCUUUAUCUUAUGUUCACAAUGGAAAUUGAAAACACAGUAUUGGUCAAGAAUUUUGGUUAUUGUAGAUUCUUGUGAAAAAACACCUUUCUUCUUCUUAAUAUACAGAUAUGUAUCUCUUCUGCCUAUCAUGUAUUACAAGCAAUGAAGA